rnacentral:rRNA from 1 species
CACUCAGACCUCCUUGUCAAAGCCUGAUCUUGUCAGAUCUCAGAAGCUAAGCAGGGUUGGGCCUCGUUAGUACUUAGAGGAAGCCCACUGUGAAUACCAGGUGGCACAGUGC